GGGUUGUGAGGUUAAGCGACUAAGCGUACACGGUGGAUGCCCUGGCAGUCAGAGGCGAUGAAGGACGUGCUAAUCUGCGAUAAGCGUCGGUAAGGUGAUAUGAACCGUUAUAACCGGCGAUUUCCGAAUGAAACCCAGUGUGUUUCGACACACUAUCAUUAACUGAAUCCAUAGGUUAAUGAGGCGAACCGGGGGAACUGAAACAUCUAAGUACCCCGAGGAAAAGAAAUCAACCGAGAUUCCCCCAGUAGCGGCGAGCGAACGGGGAGGAGCCCAGAGCCUGAAUCAGUGUGUGUGUUAGUGGAAGCGUCUGGAAAGGCGCGCGAUACAGGGUGACAGCCCCGUACACAAAAAUACACAUAUUGUGAGCUCGAUGAGUAGGGCGGGACACGUGGUAUCCUGUCUGAAUAUGGGGGGACCAUCCUCCAAGGCUAAAUACUCCUGACUGACCGAUAGUGAACCAGUACCGUGAGGGAAAGGCGAAAAGAACCCCGGCGAGGGGAGUGAAAAAGAACCUGAAACCGUGUACGUACAAGCAGUGGGAGCACGCUUAGGCGUGUGACUGCGUACCUUUUGUAUAAUGGGUCAGCGACUUAUAUUCUGUAGCAAGGUUAACCGAAUAGGGGAGCCGAAGGGAAACCGAGUCUUAACUGGGCGUUAAGUUGCAGGGUAUAGACCCGAAACCCGGUGAUCUAGCCAUGGGCAGGUUGAAGGUUGGGUAACACUAACUGGAGGACCGAACCGACUAAUGUUGAAAAAUUAGCGGAUGACUUGUGGCUGGGGGUGAAAGGCCAAUCAAACCGGGAGAUAGCUGGUUCUCCCCGAAAGCUAUUUAGGUAGCGCCUCGUGAAUUCAUCUCCGGGGGUAGAGCACUGUUUCGGCAAGGGGGUCAUCCCGACUUACCAACCCGAUGCAAACUGCGAAUACCGGAGAAUGUUAUCACGGGAGACACACGGCGGGUGCUAACGUCCGUCGUGAAGAGGGAAACAACCCAGACCGCCAGCUAAGGUCCCAAAGUCAUGGUUAAGUGGGAAACGAUGUGGGAAGGCCCAGACAGCCAGGAUGUUGGCUUAGAAGCAGCCAUCAUUUAAAGAAAGCGUAAUAGCUCACUGGUCGAGUCGGCCUGCGCGGAAGAUGUAACGGGGCUAAACCAUGCACCGAAGCUGCGGCAGCGACGCUUAUGCGUUGUUGGGUAGGGGAGCGUUCUGUAAGCCUGCGAAGGUGUGCUGUGAGGCAUGCUGGAGGUAUCAGAAGUGCGAAUGCUGACAUAAGUAACGAUAAAGCGGGUGAAAAGCCCGCUCGCCGGAAGACCAAGGGUUCCUGUCCAACGUUAAUCGGGGCAGGGUGAGUCGACCCCUAAGGCGAGGCCGAAAGGCGUAGUCGAUGGGAAACAGGUUAAUAUUCCUGUACUUGGUGUUACUGCGAAGGGGGGACGGAGAAGGCUAUGUUGGCCGGGCGACGGUUGUCCCGGUUUAAGCGUGUAGGCUGGUUUUCCAGGCAAAUCCGGAAAAUCAAGGCUGAGGCGUGAUGACGAGGCACUACGGUGCUGAAGCAACAAAUGCCCUGCUUCCAGGAAAAGCCUCUAAGCAUCAGGUAACAUCAAAUCGUACCCCAAACCGACACAGGUGGUCAGGUAGAGAAUACCAAGGCGCUUGAGAGAACUCGGGUGAAGGAACUAGGCAAAAUGGUGCCGUAACUUCGGGAGAAGGCACGCUGAUAUGUAGGUGAAGUCCCUUGCGGAUGGAGCUGAAAUCAGUCGAAGAUACCAGCUGGCUGCAACUGUUUAUUAAAAACACAGCACUGUGCAAACACGAAAGUGGACGUAUACGGUGUGACGCCUGCCCGGUGCCGGAAGGUUAAUUGAUGGGGUCAGCGCAAGCGAAGCUCUUGAUCGAAGCCCCGGUAAACGGCGGCCGUAACUAUAACGGUCCUAAGGUAGCGAAAUUCCUUGUCGGGUAAGUUCCGACCUGCACGAAUGGCGUAAUGAUGGCCAGGCUGUCUCCACCCGAGACUCAGUGAAAUUGAACUCGCUGUGAAGAUGCAGUGUACCCGCGGCAAGACGGAAAGACCCCGUGAACCUUUACUAUAGCUUGACACUGAACAUUGAGCCUUGAUGUGUAGGAUAGGUGGGAGGCUUUGAAGUGUGGACGCCAGUCUGCAUGGAGCCGGCCUUGAAAUACCACCCUUUAAUGUUUGAUGUUCUAACGUGGACCCGUGAUCCGGGUUGCGGACAGUGUCUGGUGGGUAGUUUGACUGGGGCGGUCUCCUCCUAAAGAGUAACGGAGGAGCACGAAGGUUGGCUAAUCCUGGUCGGACAUCAGGAGGUUAGUGCAAUGGCAUAAGCCAGCUUGACUGCGAGCGUGACGGCGCGAGCAGGUGCGAAAGCAGGUCAUAGUGAUCCGGUGGUUCUGAAUGGAAGGGCCAUCGCUCAACGGAUAAAAGGUACUCCGGGGAUAACAGGCUGAUACCGCCCAAGAGUUCAUAUCGACGGCGGUGUUUGGCACCUCGAUGUCGGCUCAUCACAUCCUGGGGCUGAAGUAGGUCCCAAGGGUAUGGCUGUUCGCCAUUUAAAGUGGUACGCGAGCUGGGUUUAGAACGUCGUGAGACAGUUCGGUCCCUAUCUGCCGUGGGCGCUGGAGAACUGAGGGGGGGCUGCUCCUAGUACGAGAGGACCGGAGUGGACGCAUCACUGGUGUUCGGGUUGUCAUGCCAAUGGCACUGCCCGGUAGCUAAAUGCGGAAGAGAUAAGUGCUGAAAGCAUCUAAGCACGAAACUUGCCCCGAGAUGAGUUCUCCCUGACCCUUUAAGGGUCCUGAAGGAACGUUGAAGACGACGACGUUGAUAGGCCGGGUGUGUAAGCGCAGCGAUGCGUUGAGCUAACCGGUACUAAUGAACCGUGAGGCUUAACCUUACAACGCCGAAG
rnacentral:rRNA from 1 species